AUUAUCACUGACAGGAGUGAUGUGAAGGAGAGUCUGGAGAGUUUGAAAAAGUAAGUAAACUAGAAGAAGAACUUUGCUGAUCCCGGAAGGUAAAUUCAGUACAUCUUAAAUUUGAGGGGAGUUUCCUCUUUGAUAUAUAUCAUUUUGCGAACUUUAGUUUUCUUACUUUUUCCAACUCUCCAGACUCUCCUUCACAUCACUCCUGUCAGUGAUAAU